rnacentral:rRNA from 1 species
GAUGAACGCUAGCGGGAGGCUUAACACAUGCAAGCCGAGGGGUAUAGUUCUUUCGGGAACUAGUGACCGGCGCACGGAUGCGUAACGCGUAUGCAACUUGCCCUACUGAAACGUAUAGAUCACUGCAAGGAGGAUUAGUACAUUAUAACAGAUUUAAUGGCAUCCUUGGAUUUUGAUAGAUUUAUCGCACUGGGAUAGGCAUGCGUAAGAUUAGUUAGUUGGUGAGGUAACUGCUCACCAAGCCGAUGAUCUUUAGGGGGCCUGAGUGGGUGAGUCCCCACACGGUGACUGAGACACUUACCAGAGUGCUACGGGAGGCAGUAGUGAGGAAUAUAGCACAAGGGGUGGAUGCCUGAUCCAGCCAUGCCGCGUGUAGGAAGACGGCGUGAUGGGUUGUAAACUACUUUUAUCAGGCGAUAAUCCUACGUGCGUGUAAGUAGCUGAAGGUACUAGAUGAAUAAGCACCGGCUAACUCCGUG